GCCUGGCCAUAAACCUUAAAUUACUUCCAAAUCGCCAAGGAACUACGAGCAAUGCUUAAAACCUAAAGGACUUGACGGUACCCCAUAUUCACCUAGAGGAGCCUGUCCUACAACCGAUACUCCCCGUUAAACCUCACCACUACUAGCCUUUCAGUCUGUAUACUUCCGUCCCAGCUUACCAUGUGAAUGAGCCAGUAAGCUUAACCGCCACCCACUAAUACAUCAGGUCGAGGUGCAGCAAAUGUAGUGGGAAGAGAUGGGCUACACUCUCUACCAUAGAGAACACGGAAUGUCAAUAUGCAACCUGACCCAAAGGUGGAUUUAGUAGUAAAAAGAAAGCAGAGCGCUCUUUUUAACCCGACACUGGGGUGUGUACACACCGCCCGUCACCCUCUUCAAGUAACACAACAACAG
rnacentral:rRNA from 1 species